rnacentral:rRNA from 1 species
CAGCAGCCGCGGUAAUACGAAGGGGGCUAGCGUUGCUCGGAAUGACUGGGCGUAAAGGGCGCGUAGGCGGUUUAUACAGUCAGAUGUGAAAUUCCUGGGCUCAACCUGGGGACUGCAUUUGAUACGUAUGGACUUGAGUGGAGAAGAGGGUUGUGGAAUUUCCAGUGUAGAGGUGAAAUUCGUAGAUAUUGGAAAGAACACCGGUGGCGAAGGCGGCAACCUGGUCUUUAACUGACGCUGAGGCGCGAAAGCGUGGGGAGCAAACAGGAUUAGAUACCCCAGUAGUCCCUGUCUCUUAUAC